rnacentral:rRNA from 1 species
UACAGAGGUCUCAAGCGUUGUUCGGAUUCAUUGGGCGUAAAGGGUGCGUAGGCGGCGCGGUAAGUCGGGUGUGAAAUCUCGGAGCUUAACUCCGAAACUGCAUUCGAUACUGCCGUGCUUGAGGACUGGAGAGGAGACUGGAAUUCAUGGUGUAGCAGUGAAAUGCGUAGAGAUCAUGAGGAAGACCAGUGGCGAAGGCGGGUCUCUGGGCAUCUCCUGACGCUGAGGCGCGAAAGCGUGGGGAGCAAACGGG